rnacentral:rRNA from 1 species
CGGCGUACGGGUGCGUAACACGUGUGCAACCUACCUUUAUCUGGGGGAUAGCCUUUCGAAAGGAAGAUUAAUACCCCAUAAUAUAAUGAUUGGCAUCAAUUAUUAUUGAAAACUCCGGUGGAUAGAGAUGGGCACGCGCAAGAUUAGAUAGUUGGUGAGGUAACGGCUCACCAAGUCUGUGAUCUUUAGGGGUCCUGAGAGGGAGAUCCCCCACACUGGUACUGAGACACGGACCAG